rnacentral:misc_RNA from 1 species
AAGAGGUUCAAAAGUUACAGUGGUGCCAAUAUAGCGUGGGUGGGAGGAGACAGCAGUUAUGAUACUCAAUUCCUCUCUCAAAUUGAAAUUCUAGGGUGGAGAAAUUACAAAAUCUGCAGUUUAGAGGAAAGAAGACGAUGAGGUGAGGGCUUGGUGACUAAGAAUGGUCGAGAAUAGGAGGGUUUCGAUAGUGAAAUUCAUGGUUUUUGGGUCUCUGCUUCUAAACUCUCCCCUGUUUCCACAUGAAAACCCGAUGCUUUCUAGUCUCUUCCUCUUUCUUACUAUUAUUCUUUAUUUCC